GAAAGGCGGGCUAAACCCGCGUACAUGCCACCGGGGCAUCCCGGAGGCAGGAAAGGCUUCGGCCGGACAGGGAUGGGCAUGCGGCGCAUUAGGCAGUAGGCGGGGUAACGGCCCACCUAACCGACGAUGCGUAGGGGUUCUGAGAGGAAGGUCCCCCACACUGGUACUGAGACACGGACCAGACUCCUACGGGGGGCAGCAGUGAGGAAUAUUGGUCAAUGGUCGGGAGACUGAACCAGCCAAGCCGCGUGAGGGAUGAAGGUACAGAGUAUCGUAAACCUCUUUUGUCAGGGAACAAAGGCGGGGACGUGUCCCCGGAUGAGUGUACCUGAAGAAAAAGCAUCGGCUAACUCCGUGCCAGCAGCCGCGGUAAUACGGAGGAUGCGAGCGUUAUCCGGAUUUAUUGGGUUUAAAGGGUGCGCAGGCGGUCUGUUAAGUCAGCGGUCAAAGCCCGGGGCUCAACCCCGGCCCGCCGUUGAAACUGGCAGUCUCGAGUUGGAGAGAAGUAUGCGGAAUGCGCGGUGUAGCGGUGAAAUGCAUAGAUAUCGCGCAGAACUCCGAUUGCGAAGGCAGCAUGCCGGCUCCACACUGACGCUGAGGCACGAAAGCGUGGGUAUCGAACAGGAUUAGAUACCCUGGUAGCCC
rnacentral:rRNA from 1 species